rnacentral:rRNA from 1 species
UGCGUAGACGGUUAUUUAAGUCAGGUGUGAAAGCCCCGGGCUCAACCUGGGAAUUGCAUUUGAGACUGAAUAGCUAGGGUGCGGAAGAGGGAAGCGGAAUUUCCGGUGUAGCGGUGAAAUGCGUAGAUAUCGGAAGGAACACCAGUGGCGAAAGCGGCUUCCUGGUCCAGCACCGACGUUCAGGCACGAAAGCGUGGGGAGCAAACA